ACCCGCUGAAUUUAAGCAUAUAAGUAGGCGGUGGAAAAUGAACCCAAAUGGGAUUCCUUAAGUAAUUGCGAAUGAACAAGGAAAUGCUCAGCUUGAAAAAUGGGGCCUUUGGCUUUGAAUUGUAAUUUUGAAAUGUAUUGCCAAUGGAGGCGCAGGUGCAAGCCUAUUGAAAGAAAGCGUCAAUGAGGGUGAGAUUCCUUUUUGUCAUUUGCAGUCCUCCGUGCACGGUAUAUAUUUGACGAGUCACACUCCUCGGCAUUGGAAUGCAAAGUGGGUGGUAAAUUCCAUGUAAAGGUAAAUAUAUUAUUGAGACUGAUAGCAAACAAGUACCAUGAGGGAAAUAUGAAAAGGACUUUGAAAAGAGAAUUAAAAGAGUCUGCAUUUGCUGAACAGAAAGCAAACAGAAUUGAUUUUACUUGGUGAGAUUGUUGUGCUUACUCUAUCAUUUAUAUGGUUGAUGUGGGUGCGAUGGUUCUUACCUUGAAUGUCAGCUUCUAUUUCUGCAAAUCAUUACCCUUGCACAUGAAUGGUAAUUUGCCUGCGGGUAUUGGAAUGCAUGUGUUUGCAAUGAUUUGUGAUUUGACGCAUGUGUUUGGUGAAAUUUGUAUAUGCUCUUUUGUCGAAGGGGAAAGCUUACUUUUUUGAGCAUUGCAAGCCCUUACACAUCAGUGCUGGCAAAAUGUUUCUGCUUGACCCGUCUUGAAACACGGACCAAGG
rnacentral:rRNA from 1 species